AUGGCUUUGGACGAACUGCAAGGGACGUGGGAUGACAGCUUUGAGCAUGCCUUCAGUUUUAAGACUGAGGUGGAGAAGACUAACCCAGGCAGUUUGGUAGACAUUGAAUUUGAGCAGGUUGGGGAAAAGAUGUUUACUAGAAUGUUUGUUGCCCUCAAAGCCUGUGUGGAUGGUUUCUUGACUGGCUGCAGGCCUGUCCUUGGUGUGGACUCCACACAUCUGACUGGAAAAUGGAAGGGUCAACUUGCAUCUGCAACUUCUAUUGAUGGGCAUAAUUGGAUGUUUCCAGUGUGUUAUGGCGUGUUUGGCUCGGAAACAAAAGAAAAUUGGGCUUGGUUUUUCCGCAGACUUCACCAAGCUAUUGGGUCCUCUCCAGGCCUAGUUAUCUUAACAGAUGCAAGCAAAGGUAUUGAUUCUGCUGUUACAGUCAAGUCUUCAAACAUGGGGUUGAGCACAGGGAGUGCAUGA
rnacentral:rRNA from 1 species